rnacentral:rRNA from 1 species
UCUGGCUCAGAUUGAACGCUGGCGGCAGGCCUAACACAUGCAAGUCGAACGGUAGCACAGAGAGCUUGCUCUCGGGUGACGAGUGGCGGACGGGUGAGUAAUGUCUGGGAAACUGCCCGAUGGAGGGGGAUAACUACUGGAAACGGUAGCUAAUACCGCAUAACGUCUUCGGACCAAAGUGGGGGACCUUCGGGCCUCACACCAUCGGAUGUGCCCAGAUGGGAUUAGCUAGUAGGUGGGGUAAUGGCUCACCUAGGCGACGAUCCCUAGCUGGUCUGAGAGGAUGACCAGCCACACUGGAACUGAGACACGGUCCAGACUCCUACGGGAGGCAGCAGUGGGGAAUAUUGCACAAUGGGCGCAAGCCUGAUGCAGCCAUGCCGCGUGUAUGAAGAAGGCCUUCGGGUUGUGAAGUACUUUCAGCGGGGAGGAAGGCGAU